rnacentral:rRNA from 1 species
AGAGUUUGAUNNUGGCUCAGGACGAACGCUGGCGGCGUGCCUAAUACAUGCAAGUCGAACGCUUCUUUUCCCACCGAGCUUGCUCCACCGGGAAAAGAAGAGUGACGAACGGGUGAGUAACACGUGGGUAACCUGCCCAUCAGAAGGGUAUAACACUUGGAAACAGGUGCUAAAUACCGUAUAACAAUCGAAACCGCAUGGUUUCGUUUUGAAAGGCGCUUUACGGUGCCGCUGAUGGAUGGACCCGCGGUGCAUUAGCUAGUUGGUGAGGUAACGGCUCACCAAGGCCACGAUGCAUAGCCGACCUGAGAGGGUGAUCGGCCACAUUGGGACUGAGACACGGCCCAAACUCCUACGGGAGGCAGCAGUAGGGAAUCUUCGGCAAUGGACGAAAGUCUGACCGAGCAACGCCGCGUGAGUGAAGAAGGUUUUCGGAUCGUAAAACUCUGUUGUUAGAGAAGAACAAGGGUGAGAGUAACUGUUCACCCCUUGACGGUAUCUAACCAGAAAGCCACGGCUAACUACGUGCCAGCAGCCGCGGUAAUACGUAGGUGGCAAGCGUUGUCCGGAUUUAUUGGGCGUAAAGCGAGCGCAGGCGGUUUCUUAAGUCUGAUGUGAAAGCCCCCGGCUCAACCGGGGAGGGUCAUUGGAAACUGGGAGACUUGAGUGCAGAAGAGGAGAGUGGAAUUCCAUGUGUAGCGGUGAAAUGCGUAGAUAUAUGGAGGAACACCAGUGGCGAAGGCGGCUCUCUGGUCUGUAACUGACGCUGAGGCUCGAAAGCGUGGGGGCAAACAGGAUUAGAUACCCUGGUAGUCCACGCCGUAAACGAUGAGUGCUAAGUGUUGGAGGGUUUCCGCCCUUCAGUGCUGCAGCUAACGCAUUAAGCACUCCGCCUGGGGAGUACGACCGCAAGGUUGAAACUCAAAGGAAUUGACGGGGGCCCGCACAAGCGGUGGAGCAUGUGGUUUAAUUCGAAGCAACGCGAAGAACCUUACCAGGUCUUGACAUCCUUUGACCACUCUAGAGAUAGAGCUUCCCCUUCGGGGGCAAAGUGACAGGUGGUGCAUGGUUGGCGUCAGCUCGUGUCGUGAGAUGUUGGGUUAAGUCCCGCAACGAGCGCAACCCUUAUUGUUAGUUGCCAUCAUUUAGUUGGGCACUCUAGCAAGACUGCCGGUGACAAACCGGAGGAAGGUGGGGAUGACGUCAAAUCAUCAUGCCCCUUAUGACCUGGGCUACACACGUGCUACAAUGGGAAGUACAACGAGUCGCGAAGUCGCGAGGCUAAGCUAAUCUCUUAAAGCUUCUCUCAGUUCGGAUUGUAGGCUGCAACUCGCCUACAUGAAGCCGGAAUCGCUAGUAAUCGCGGAUCAGCACGCCGCGGUGAAUACGUUCCCGGGCCUUGUACACACCGCCCGUCACACCACGAGCAGUUUGUAACACCCGAAGCUCGGUGAGCGUAACCUUUUUGGAGCCAGCCGCCUAAGGUGGGAUAGAUGAUUGGGGUGAAGUCGUAACAAGGUAGCCGUAUCGAAGGUGCGGCUGGAUCACCUCCUUUCU